rnacentral:rRNA from 1 species
AUUGAACGCUGGCGGAAUGCUUUACACAUGCAAGUCGAACGGCAGCACGGGGCAACCUGGUGGCGAGUGGCGAACGGGUGAGUAAUACAUCGGAACGUGCCCAAUCGUGGGGGAUAACGUAGCGAAAGUUACGCUAAUACCGCAUACGAUCUACGGAUGAAAGCGGGGGAUCGCAAGACCUCGCGCGAGUGGAGCGGCCGAUGUCAGAUUAGGUAGUUGGUGGGGUAAAGGCUCACCAAGCCAACGAUCUGUAGCUGGUCUGAGAGGACGACCAGCCACACUGGAACUGAGACACGGUCCAGACUCCUACGGGAGGCAGCAGUGGGGAAUUUUGGACAAUGGGCGCAAGCCUGAUCCAGCCAUUCCGCGUGCAGGAUGAAGGCCUUCGGGUUGUAAACUGCUUUUGUACGGUAACGAAACGGCGAGCUCUAAUACAGUUUGCUAAUGACGGUACCGUAAGAAUAAGCACCGGCUAACUACGUGCCAGCAGCCGAC